AAGGAUUUGUACCUGCGCAUUACCCAGCCAGGAGGCACGGUUGCGGGAAAUCCCACCAAUGGCUCAGGCUCGACCACUGGUGCCAACGGUGAUCGUAUUGACUACACCCUGCAAAAGGCGAUCUCUCUGCGACAGGGUGAGCGGGU
rnacentral:misc_RNA from 1 species